rnacentral:rRNA from 12 species
ACAACAAAAAAAACCUGCACCCGAUCCCGUCCAAUCACGGAAGCUAAGCAGGACCGGGCCCGGUUAGUACUUGGACGGGAGACCGCCUGGGAAUACCAGGUGCUGUA